AUUUAAAUAGUUUAAUAAAAAAUAUUGAUUUGUGAUAUCAAAGAUGUAAGGGUUACUUUAGAUU
rnacentral:tRNA from 1 species